rnacentral:rRNA from 1 species
CCUACGGGGUGCAGCAGUCGAGAAUCAUUCACAAUGGGGGAAACCCUGAUGGUGCGACGCCGCGUGGGGGAAUGAAGGUCUUCGGAUUGUAAACCCCUGUCAUGUGGGAGCAAAUUAAAAAGAUAGUACCACAAGAGGAAGAGACGGCUAACUCUGUGCCAGCAGCCGCGGUAAUACAGAGGUCUCAAGCGUUGUUCGGAAUCACUGGGCGUAAAGCGUGCGUAGGCUGUUUCGUAAGUCGUGUGUGAAAGGCGCGGGCUCAACCCGCGGACGGCACAUGAUACUGGGAGACUAGAGUACUGGAGAGGGAACCGGAAUUCUCGGUGUAGCAGUGAAAUGCGUAGAUAUCGAGAGGAACACUCGUGGCGAAGGCGGGUUCCUGGACAUUAACUGACGCUGAGGCACGAAGGCCAGGGGAGCGAAAGGGAUUAGAUACCCGGGUAGUC